UACAGAGGGUGCGAGCGUUGUCCGGAAUCACUGGGCGUAAAGGGCGCGUAGGUGGCGACCCAAGUCGAUGGUGAAAGCUCGCCGCUCAACGGCGAGUCGGCCACCGAUACUGGGUUGCUGGAGCACUGUAGAGGCUCAUGGAAUUCCGGGUGUAGCGGUGGAAUGCGUAGAGAUCCGGAAGAACGACCGGUGGCGAAGGCGGUGAGCUGGGCGAGUUGCUGGACACUGGAGGCGCGAAAGCAUGGGGAGCAAACAGG
rnacentral:rRNA from 1 species